GGCGGGCGGGCCGGGCCCCGAGCACACGCUGCUCCCUCCCGCGUCCCGAUCCCCGGCAGCCCUGGCCCGGCGGCGCGUCCCCGCGGACUGGAGCUCAAGAGGCAUUUUUCGUCAUUACCUGUGCUUGGGAUGCAUUUAAGGAACUAUUCGUAUCCACACCAGGAUUUACUGUUGGGUUCCAGCUCACCGGUUGCAGACCCGGGAAGAUGCUCAGCUUGCUGUGCUCCUAGCAUCUGGUUUCUGGCUACGAAGGAAGGUCGGACUGCAGAUUCACAUUUUCAUCCUGAGAUUUGCUCAAUGCAGUAGAUACAUUUUUAAAGAGACGGACAAGGCGCUGCUUCCGGACAAGGCGCUGCUUCCCAAAAAGCCUCCAAUUCAAGCCAAUGAUUGAAGAGGAGCUAAGAAUAACUGAGAUGUUUGCUUCCUCCUUACUUAGAUUUAUGUUAAGUUGUUAUAACACUUGCAUUAAACUCCCCAGUGAGAAGA